CUUCAAAUCAUGGCAUUUUCUAAGUACUUAGAAACCCAGAGUCCAGCAAACCCAAUCCUUUAUUUUAUAAAUAAGAAAAUGGAAGAAAGCUCAAGACAGGAAGUUACACAGUUAAUGCUAAAGGUCUGACAAUAAUCCAGAAAAGGGAAACUCUAACUCCUCGUCCCACUUAAAUGAACCUGUGCCCUGACCCCUCAAAGCCGUGGGUUUUCAUUUCAACACCUAUUGCACCAACAAUAAAUGAAUCAUCCAGUAAAAACUCCCCUAAUUUUCCCAAUCUCUAACCCAACAUGGUGGAGCCAAAAGAAUACAGCCUUGGUGCCAGAAAGACCUGGAUCCAAUCUCAGCUCUGUCCUUUACUAUCCACGUGACUGUGGGGAAGUUACUAAACCCAUUUCAGGCUAAAUGUCUUCACCUGUUAAACAGCAACAAUCGACUAGAAAUCCACCCAGGAGGGUUCGUGUGAUGGUGAGGAUACAAUGGCCAGAAGGUAGAUGGUCAAUGAUGGCGGUUAUUUUCACACGCCCCUCUCCGCCUCCUUAAGGUAUCCUUAUCUUCACCCACACCCUCCUCCUUCCCACCAGCAUCCCUCAGCAGACAGGGUUUUCAUCUUCUUUUCAAAGUGCAUCCCUCUUCCUCAGAUUAUGAAUCUGUGUUCUUCCCUGGGCUCCAAGCCAUCAGCGGACAGUUCUCUCCAGCACCUUAUACUCCUUCUCUGUGGACUGCUUCCCUUCUGGCUUCUCAGCUGCUCAAGAGUCCCCUGGCUUGAAAACGCCCUGGACGGAGAGGUUGCAGCAGAGUGGUUCCACCUGGGGAGCAGGGCGACAGUGAUGUUGACGUCCUUGUCCAGGGACACUGUGAGAGCCACUGCUCCAGAGCCUUGCAACUCAAGCUGUUAUCCAUUCUUCCUGCUUUGCAACACUGGUUCUCAGCCUUGACUGCAAAUCGCUAUCACCUGGCGAGCUUUACAGACUGCUGAUUCUCGGGCCCCAUGCCCAGGGAUGCGGAGGAAAUCAGUACGGGUGCAGCCCGGGAAGCCGAACGCCUGCAUCUCCACAGAUGACUCUAAUGAGAGCAAAGUUUAAGAAGCACUGAUUUAAAACCACUGCUUGCCACAUUCCUGAGAUACCUCACUCUUCUAUAUUUUCUCCUACUUCUUGAUCACUUCUUGGCAUCCGUCGCUUACUACUUUUUCUAUCACUCUGCUGGUUUUAUCCAUCACUACUACAAACAUGACUCUUGUAUCUGUAUCUGAAAGCUUGACAUCUAACUAAGCUCCCCACCCGGCCUCUGUUGACUUCCAGGUUUGGAUUAACGUGUCUGCUGCAUGGCUUUUCAAGCCCAUUUCCACUCACAGCUGCUUCCUGGCUUCCUGGGCUUUCACAGCUACUACAAUAGCCUCCAAAAUGUCUCUGCUUCUCACCUCUUUCCCCGACUCAGUUUACACACCUUGACAGUGGAGCCAAUUCCUUACUCCCACUCCACGGCGUCUAUUAACAUGUCACUGAAGUAGCACUCUCAGGGGCCAACCACAGGAGUACUACAAUGAACUAUUUCAUAAAAUAAUAUCCACACAUGCACAUGCCCAGCCUGCUUUAGCUGGUACAUUUCUUUUCUUUAUAGUACUUCUCAUCUUCUAACUUUAUACAAUUUAUUAUGUUUACUGUUAAGUAUCUGUCACCCACCGUUAGAGUAGAUGCUACAUGAGCACAGAGAUUUCUGUCUAUUUUAUUCUCUGAUUUGUCUCAAGAGCCCAGAAGAGCACCUGGAACUCAAUCAUUAUUGGUUGAAUGAAUUAAUAAAUUUCAACCAUAGUCAGCCAUGUAGAUAUCAGCUAAUUAUUCAUAAAUUAGGGAGGAAAGAUUAAAUAUCUGAUUAAAAUUUUUGGCUGCUAAUUUAUUGAACUUGGAUGGAUGAACCGUUUGGAAGUCACGUGACUUUCCCUGUGUGUCUGCUGUUAUUCCACAGAAAGAGACGGUUCAUUUCAGCCCUCCCCCGUCUAUUGUUCUGAGCCACCCAGCAAAAUGAUGUCAUGGGCAGCUUAAAAGUAUACAGGAAGUCUUCAAAACUGAAUGACUUCAAUAUACUUUGUUCCGUGGACUCUUGCUGCCGGCUCUCCAUGGAAACCACACCCCGCAGACCUCAGGGAGGCGGCCAUAGGAUCAAAUCAUAGGCUCAGAGCGUCUCUCCUCUCCUCACCUCCGCCAUCCCAUUCUCUCCCCCGCCCCCGGGCCAGCGCGCCCACCGCUCACCUCCAGCCCAGGGCCUUGGACAGAGGCCAGCGCCAGAGGAGGGAAGGGAAGCUCAGAGAAAGGAAAGCCAGAGGAAUAGGAGGGCAGAGGGAGUUUCCUCAGAAAUACAGAGGCGCAGGACUCUCAGGACAACCAAAGGUCACCCUUAUUGGCCCUUCCCGACAGAGUCAGUCAGUUUGGCAGAGCUGCCAGUCAUGGCAAUGUCUCCAGAGAAGACGCACUGAUAGAAACCAUAUGGGACUUGUCUCAACUUGCAAAGUGCAGCAAGAGAGCUUCAUUGAGACUGCUGCCCAGUGACACACUCUGAGUAAAGUUAAGCAGGAGACAGUUUAUAACAGGAUC
rnacentral:lncRNA from 1 species